CUACGGGACGCUCCAGUGAGGAAUAUUGCACAAUGGGGGGAACCCUGAUGCAGCAACGCCGCGUGGAGGAUGACGCGUUUCGGUGUGUAAACUCCUUUUAUAUGUCAAGAAAAUGACGGUAGCAUAUGAAUAAGCACCGGCUAACUCCGUGCCAGCAGCCGCGGUAAUACGGAGGGUGCAAGCGUUACUCGGAAUCACUGGGCGUAAAGGACGCGUAGGCGGGUUGGAAAGUCGGGUGUGAAAUCCUACAGCUUAACUGUAGAACUGCACUUGAAACUUCUAAUCUAGAGUAUGGGAGGGGGAGAUGGAAUUAGUGGUGUAGGGGUAAAAUCCGUAGAUAUCACUAGGAAUACCUAAAGCGAAGGCGAUCUCCUGGAACAUUACUGACGCUAAGGCGUGAAAGCGUGGGGAGCAAACAGGAUUAGAUACCCCGGUAGUC
rnacentral:rRNA from 1 species